UNCGCAGCCGCCGCCGCGCAGCCGCUCCUCUCACAGUUUGCCUUCGGAACCUGCUCCCUCCCAGCAGCACGAGCAACCGUCAGGGUAACAGCAGAAUCCCAACGGGACACACGGCACUAACCCUGAACCCCAGCUCAGCAGUGACCCUUUUGAAGACCUGUCAUUCCAGCUGCUCGUGU